rnacentral:rRNA from 1 species
GACGAACGCUGGCGGCGUGCUUAACACAUGCAAGUCGAACGGUAAGGCCCUUCGGGGUACACGAGUGGCGAACGGGUGAGUAACACGUGGGUGAUCUGCCCUGCACUUCGGGAUAAGCCUGGGAAACUGGGUCUAAUACCGGAUAGGACCACUGCCUGCAUGGGUGGUGGUGGAAAGCUUUUGCGGUGUGGGAUGGGCCCGCGGCCUAGCAGCUUGUUGGUGGGGUGAUGGCCUACCAAGGCGACGACGGGUAGCCGGCCUGAGAGGGUGGCCGGCCACACUGGGACUGAGAUACGGCCCAGACUCCUACGGGAGGCAGCAGUGGGGAAUAUAGCACAAUGGGCGCAAGCCUGAUGCAGCGACGCCGCGUGAGGGAUGACGGCCUUCGGGUUGUAAACCUCUUUCAGCACCGACGAAGCGCAAGUGACGGUAGGUGCAGAAGAAGGACCGGCCAACUACGAGCCAGCAGCCGCGGUAA